AGUCUAUUCAGAGGAACCUGUCCUGUAAUUGAUAAUCCACGAUGAACCUUACUUAAGUUUGUCUUUCAGUUUAUAUACCGUCGUUAUCAGAAUAUUUUAUUAGAAUAAUAAUUUUCUAUAAUUUUAAUAGGAAUGUAUAUCAGAUCAAGGUGUAGCUUAUAUUUGAGUAGAGAUGGGUUACAAUAAAUAUAUUUAAACGGAUCUAAUUAUGAAAUAUUUUUAGUGAAGGUGGAUUUGAUAGUAAAAUUUUAAAGAUUGUGAAUUUGAUUUUAGCUCUAGAAUAUGCACACAUCGCCCGUCGCUCUUACUAUUAAGGUAAGAUAAGUCGUAACAUAGUAGAUGUACCGGAAGGUGUAUCUAGAAUGA
rnacentral:rRNA from 1 species